rnacentral:rRNA from 1 species
AUCCUGGCUCAGGAUGAACGCUAGCGGCAGGCUUAACACAUGCAAGUCGAGGGGUAGGGCAGCAAUGCCUGAGACCGGCGCACGGGUGCGUAACGCGUAUGCAAUCUACCUUGUACAGGGGAAUAGCCCAGAGAAAUUUGGAUUAAUGCCCCAUAGCAUAUUUGAAUGGCAUCAUUUAAAUAUUAAAGUUCAGGCGGUACAAGAUGAGCAUGCGUCCCAUUAGCUAGUUGGUAUGGUAACGGCAUACCAAGGCAAUGAUGGGUAGGGGUCCUGAGAGGGAGAUCCCCCACACUGGUACUGAGACACGGACCAGACUCCUACGGGAGGCAGCAGUGAGGAAUAUUGGGCAAUGGGCGCUAGCCUGACCCAGCCAUGCCGCGUGCAGGAAGACGGUCCUAUGGAUUGUAAACUGCUUUUGUACGGGAAGAAACCCUAUUACGUGUAAUAGAUUGACGGUACCGUACGAAUAAGGAUCGGCUAACUCCGUG